rnacentral:misc_RNA from 1 species
GCAUUGAAAAUGGCGUCUUUCUAUUGUUUGUUGAAUGUGUCGUAAUUUUGUUGAAAAAUAUAAUUUAGUGUAAAAACUACGAAAUUCUGUUGAUCAUAUUGUAGUUUCUAAAGUCGUUAUCAUAUCCUGUUAUUAAUAGUAUCGAAGUCGCGAUCACUACAGCAGGGAGAUAUGUCGUGGCGAGGGAGAGACGAGCGCGGAGUGUCGCGCUGGGGAGAGGAGGGCCGCUGGGCGGAGCGCCCGCGCUCGCCCGUGUGGGAGCCGCGCCGCAGCCCCGACCAGGAGCGCCGGGAGCGCCACGAGCGCCGCUACGACCGCGAGCGGGACCGCGAACGUGACGACCGCGACCGCCGGGACCGCUACGACCGCGAAGAGCGCCCUGACCGCUUCGAUCGCGCUGACCGCCCCGACCGCGACGCAGACAGGUUCCGCAACCGCGAGCGAUACGACCGCUCCCGUGAACGCGAUCGAGACCGCGAGCGCGACCGAGACCGCGAGCGUGACUGGGAGCGGGAGCGCCGUCGCUCCCCGCGCCGCUACGAGGAGCGCGAGAUACCGUCCGCGCCCUCGCCGCCCAAGAUCAGCAGUGAGCCCGAGCGUAAGUCCGACUCCCACUCCAGCAGCCGCUCCAACAGCCGCGAGCGCCAGGACGACUACGAUAGGGACCGCGACAAACAUGAAGACAACCAGUCGUCCGUUAACGCCUCUCCAGGAGACUGGUUCUGCAAGUGCGGCUCAUACAAUUUUAAACGUCGACAGAUAUGUUACAGACGCAACUGUCAGGGGAAGAGGUCCGAAGGAGUUGUGUAUGGUGGUGACGGAGAAAGAAACACUACGCUGGAUGGCAGUUCCGGUAUCACGAAACGUCUGCUGUUCAGGCGACUAGACGCUCUGACCACCGAAGAAAAAAUUUUGGAAGCAAUCAAGGAGAGAUGUUCCAAAUCGAUUUUAGAUUCGAUCGCCGGCAUAACUAUAGGGCGAGAGACCCUGACCGGAGCGUCUAAAUGCUUAGCUUACAUUAAUUUUAAUUCUAUAGCCGACUCCACAGCUGCACAUUCCGAACUGUUAUCGCUAAACCCACCGUUAGAAAUAGACGGGAGAGAUGUUUUAAUCUCCUUCUACAAUGAACCACAGAAAAUACAUAAGAAUAUGUCUAUAGGCGCAGCAGAUUAUUCCACUUAUUAUGCUCAGAUGCAGAGUUACAAUACGACGGCGCAAGCCAUAUCGGAGGCGGACCGCGUGAACGCGGCGGCGGCGGUGGCGCAGUCGGCCAUCUCGGCGGCCGCGGCGCGCCACCUGGCGUGGACGCCCGUGGCCGCGCCCGCCUUCGUCACCUCCGCCGCGCAGACCGUGCCCGCCGGCAAUGUGCCCACCGGCGACGGGAAAACCAUAUACGCGGCCCCCGACGUGCGGACGUUCAUGUACGACGAGACCUCCGGCUACUACUAUGAUCCCGCUACGGGCUUGUAUUACGACGGCAACACACAAUACUUCUAUAAUAGUCAGACGAACCAAUACAUGUACUGGGAUGCGACCAACUCUACUUACAUAGCCGCCACCCAGGCGCAGCAGAAUACCGAACAGCCUAAACUACCUAACCCCCCGCAAGCCACGGUCGAGAACACCAUAGUGAAGGAACCUGAGGAGAAGAAAAAGAAAGAAAAGGAGGACAAAGUGAAAGUGGCUAAAAAGAUAGCGAAGGAUAUGGAGAGAUGGGCGCGGACCCUUAAUCAGAAGAAAGAGAAUGCUCGAAGUAAUAUUGUAAUGGAACAACCCUUGGACACGGGGGCCAGUAAAGGUUCAGCAGAUAUAGGCUUCUCGGUUUUAGGUGCCGGCCCGUCAGCCGUGCCGACGUGCCACGUCAGGGAGAUAUCCCCGCCCCCGGUAGGGGACGACUUCUUGAUGAAAAAGACAAAUGAGCAGGUGCCUAUAGAUUCCGAUGAGGGUAUCAUAGACUGGGUGAAGUUGACCUGCCUGUUGUGUAAGCGACGCUUCCCGUCUGUGGAGGUUUUGACUAAGCAUAAAACCUUGUCAGAUUUACAUAAACAAAAUUUGGUUGAACAUAGGAAAAGUAUGGAGUUGUUGCCUCAGACUAAUGGGUAUAGAGACAGGGCAGCAGAGCGGAGGAUGAAGUUUGGUGAGGACGAGCCUAUUGUACGGAAGCGGUAUGAGCCGUCGGAGGUGAUGCCGUCGCCGCUGCCGCCGUCCGCGCCGCCGCCGAACGUGGUGGACACCAUCGGAGGGAAGAUGUUGCAGAAGAUGGGCUGGUCGGAGGGCAGGGGGCUCGGUAAGACGGAGCAGGGCAGGAUAGCGCCCAUAGAAGCUGAACAGAGGCCCGCGCUGGUUGGGCUCGGGCAGAAGCGAGGCAUCUACACCCCCACCCCCGGAGAGACAUACAGAGACACUGUCAAGAAGCUCAUGAUCGCUAGAUAUAAGGAGGUGGUCGGGCAGGAGGAAGGGAACAAAUAGGUGGGUAUUGUUUUAUCUACUUACUCCACUAAUGUUUGUUUUGCAGGUUGGAAACUAACAGGUCAGUUAAAUUUUUAUUAUUAUUAUUAGUUAUAAAAGUAUAGAAAUAAUAAUUAUAAUGUGACUAUCAGGCACUAUCAGCUUACUAUUAUCUUCAAAUAUCUCAAGAGUAAGGAUGUGUAAGAAUCAAAAAUAAAUUACAGAAUCAAAUUCAUUACAAUAAUGCUUUAUCAACUAUUGUAUCUUCAUAGUCACAGGCACACAAGUCUCGUCCAUAAUCCAUCCAACAACUAUACAAAUAAUGCUAAACAACUUGUUAGGUAUUCCAACUUGUUAUUUUGUUCUGCAACAAGAUAUUUUCAGUCUUGAUUUUUUAUUUAAUAACUAAAGAAACAAAGUUAUGAUUAAGGGAUAUUACAAGUGGGAAAUUCUUACAUGGGUCUAAAAGCCAAUUUGAAACGAAAAAAAGGAUAAAGCACAUCAAAAGUGGCUGGAAUAUAUAGCAUUGUACAUGUUUGUCUAAUGGUUUGAUUCUGAUUUCACUACAAUAGAUGUGGCCGCCACAUCGCGUUGAGGCCUGCCCUAACAUCCGACACGCAAGCGACCCCGCCCAGCGACCGACGCGUGCCAAACGUUUAAAAUACUGUACAUAAAUAUUAGAUAUAUACGUAACUGGUACCAAGUACACACGUAUCGGGAUCCGUAGCUAGGGUCAUGGGCAACCAAGAGACCUACCAUGAACUUAUUACCCCGUAGGUCGCCAAGUUAACAGAAAAUGACAAAGUAAGGAAACGAGAACAACUUAUCCUAAGUUUAUAUAUUUUGUCACCUUUUUUGAACAGAGCAAUUCUGUUGAUGGUAGGUCUUUAAAGAGAUUCUGAUAUUGUGCCUCCGAAUCUAAUUAAAAAAAUAAGGUUUGAAUGAGCCUGGUUUGCCUGUGUGUCGCCAGCCCCUAGCUAUGGGUUCUAGUUAUAUAAUUGCUACUUAGAAGAAGUGACUUUCUCAGUAAUGAUUUUUGAUAAAUUGCUCAUUGAGUACACUGUAUAUAGACUUUCAAAAAUAACGAGUAUCUAGAGAAGCUUAUAAUUAGUAUUUUAUUUUUCAGUACUUAGAUAGGUAUGAAUGUAACUUAAUUAUCUUUGUUGCUCUCCUGAGCUUUAAAUAAUUAUUAUGUAGAAUACAUUACAUGCGUGGUUGGUUUCAUAAGAUUAUAUUUUAAAUAUAUUUUUUUAUUACAUUAAAUAAGUAGGUAACUUUAUUUAGUGCAGAAAAAUCAAUCAAGGCUUAACGCUUUUCCGUCUAAACAUUUUAGUUUAAUAUAAUUUAAACUUACCGAGAAGUAUGAUAAUGAAGAUCAAAUUAUUUUUGCAUUUAUUUUAAAAUUAAAAUGCUCGUUAAGCAAUGAAUUAGGUAGUAUUUUGAUAUAAAAGUAAAGGUAAUGUAGGUAGCCGUUAGCAUGGCGUGACCCUUAGAAUCUAGUAUAAUUAGGAUAGAUUAAAUAACGUGUACAUAGUCUGAAAAAAAAAUCAUGAAUAUUUCCAUUAGCAAGUAAAGGACUCAUUCCUGCGACGAAAUAUUUAUUGUAUAGGGUCCAACAAACGUAACAUGCUUAGGGUGGUAUUAAUAAACUUAGCGGAGACUGCCCUCAAGGUCAUCAAGUCCCUGUUUUUAUAUAAGAACUGUCACAUUGACAUGAUCUUGAGGGCAGUCUCGAAGCUGAGAUUAGUCUGUUUAUUAAUACCACCCUUAGAAUUGGUCUAUUCCACUAUAAUCACCGACGAAAAUUAUCAACUAGAAAAUUGACAAGGUUUUGUUUGCUGUUUUUCUUAAUAAUGCAUCAAACUAUUUUCAUUUAUUAAAUAGAUAAAAUACUGAAAUAUUCCGGUGAUUUAAGGACGCCGAAGUGAAGUGACGGUGACUAGAGUUGUACCGUGUAACUGUCCCGCGUGUGUAGAUAAUAAAUUCGUUUUCCCUUGGACUUAGUGAAGGUAAACAUGUAUCAAACAAUUUUCAAUAAUUACCGGACGUUAACAAGGGAGGAGUUAUUUCUUAAGAUCCGACCGAAAUAAUAGUUUUAAUUGGAGUCGCCUAAGUGACAAUUUUCGCGGGUGACCAAACGACACUAAACUGUCGCCGAUGGUCACCUGGGGUGAGAUAUAGUACGUACGUCUCUAUCGCACUAACGGUAUACAGAUUAGUGCGAUUUUGUCGUUUCAUUAAAGUUAUGUUUGUUGGACCAUUGAUUUGUCAUAACGAAAUCCUUACACAAAAAUAUGCAAUAUGCCAUCAGCUAUGUAACAGGUAACCCCUAGAUGAUUGUCAAUGAUCAGAAAUAUAUUUUAAUACAAAUAUUCUGUAAAUAUGUUAAUUUAUUGAAGUCAAAUGCUCAAGUUUGAAGUUUAUUGUUAGCCCUUGCAUUACUUUAGAGGACGGAUGAAUGUAGCUACUUUACAAGACUUUAAUGUAACUACUUUGUUAAUAUAAUUUGUCUAUAAUUAA